AUGCACGCUGGCGGCGUGCCUAAUACAUGCAAGUCGAGCGAACAGACGAGGAGCUUGCUCCUCUGACGUUAGCGGCGGACGGGUGAGUAACACGUGGAUAACCUACCUAUAAGACUGGGAUAACUUCGGGAAACCGGAGCUAAUACCGGAUAAUAUAUUGAACCGCAUGGUUCAAUAGUGAAAGACGGUUUUGCUGUCACUUAUAGAUGGAUCCGCGCCGCAUUAGCUAGUUGGUAAGGUAACGGCUUACCAAGGCAACGAUGCGUAGCCGACCUGAGAGGGUAUUCGGCCACACUGGAACUGAGACGCGGUCCAGACUCCUACGGGAGGCAGCAGUAGGGAAUCUUCCGCAAUGGGCGAAAGCCUGACGGAGCAACGACGCGUGAGUGAUGAAGGUCUUCGGAUCUUAAAACUCUGUUAUUAGGGAAGAACAAAUGUGUAAGUAACUAUGCACGUCUUGACGGUACCUAAUCAGAAAGCCACGGCUAACUACGUG
rnacentral:rRNA from 1 species